CUGGGCCUUCCUCGCGCUGGCGGCCGCGGCGCUGCUGCUGCCACUGGGGCCGGCGGCUGGAAGUCCUUGCUUUUUGGAUAAGACUCAUCUUAUAAAGAAAGGAGCUGCACGCUUGAAGCGAGAAAAUAUAGAUAGAAUUCAUGACUCAGUGGCCUUUUAUGAAACGGGUGGAGUCGCAUCUAUUCCAGAUGCUCCACAAAUUUCUGAUCAAAUACUUGGAAUAGAAGGAUCAACUAUUCCGGUGUAUGUUCUCAUUAAUUCCAAAGAUUUAAUUCUUAAGUGUUUGACUCAAAAGCUGUUAAAGCAGAGAAUCAUUGAUCCGAAGUAUCAGUGGAUUGGUCCCAUAGGAUUGAUAACCAAAGAAUCACAAAGGUUUGUUUUAACUGAUGACGGUAGCCUGGAAAUUUAUAAUAUUCAUGGAAGUGACUCCGGAAGUUACAUCUGCAAUGUCAUCUAUGUACAUAACAAUAAAUAUGUGACAAC
rnacentral:lncRNA from 1 species